GGGCGUGCUAGAGGGGAUUCUCGGCGACCCAUACGGCGCGGUCGUCGCGGCUCCGCCGGAACCCUAGAUGCCGCCGCCGAGAGCUCCUCCGCCGGAGACGACGCCGCCGCCGCCGAGAGCUCCUCCGCCGCGGAGAGCUCCUCUCCCGGAUCCGAGCUUAGAGAACGCCGCGACGCAGCUUGGAUCGAGAGGGGAGGGAGAGGGAGAGGGCGAGGGGGAGUGGGGGAUGUGGGGUGCGCGGGGGUGGGGAUCGCGAUAGAGAAAGGGCGCGAGCGAGGUGAUCGACUCAGGGGGAGGUGGGAGUGGGGAUGUGGGGUUCGAUCGGGUGGGUUGGGUUAGGGUUGAGUUUGAGUUAAGGAUUAUUAUGUUUAUUUAAUAUAUAAAUAUUAGUGGGUUAAAUAUAUAUAUUUGAAAAUAAUUGCCGCUAAAAGGAUAAUAAAAUAAUAGUAAUAGUGG
rnacentral:lncRNA from 1 species